GAUGAACGCUGGCGGCGUGCCUAAUACAUGCAAGUCGAGCGAACGGACGAGAAGCUUGCUUCUCUGAUGUUAGCGGCGGACGGGCGAGUAACACGUGGAUAACCUACCUAUAAGACUGGGAUAACUUCGGGAAACCGGGGAUAAUAACGGAUAAUAUUUUGAACCGCAUGGUUCAAAAGUGAAAGACGGUCUUGCCGUCACUUAUAGAUGGAUCCGCGCUGCAUUAGCUAGUUGGUAAGGUAACGGCUUACCAAGGCAACGAUGCAUAGCCGACCUGAGAGGAUGAUCGGCCACACUGGAACUGAGACACGGUCCAGACUCCUACGGGAGGCAGCAGUAGGGAAUCUUCCGCAAUGGGCGAAAGCCUGACGGAGCAACGCCGCGUGAGUGAUGAAGGUCUUCGGGUCGUAAAGCUCUGUUAUUAGGGAAGAACAUAUGUGUAAGUAACUGUGCACAUCUUGACGGUACCUAAUGAGAAAGCCACGGCUAACUACGUG
rnacentral:rRNA from 1 species